rnacentral:lncRNA from 1 species
GGCUUCUUUAUGCAGCUAACAUCCCUGAGUGUGUAUUCAUCUAUAUAUUUUUUUUAUUUGAGGUUGGAGCGUAGCUCUAAAAAGAAAUUGAUAAAAUAUGUAUAUAUUUGAACAUAAAAGUGAAGCAUUCUAAUUUUUUUUCUCCAGGAAGAGGUUGUUCCAGAUAUGAAACCUUUGGAAAAAAUACUGUUACUGGGCAUGGGACCGAUGUUUGUCUCCCUUGGCAACAUAGAGGAAGAUGUGCGCCAAACAUCUGUUGCACAUUCAGCUGUACUUGGACUUCUCCGCUACAAGUUACUUCUUCCAGGUCCCUUUUGUCGUAAAUUACAUACCUCAUCCCUUCUUCUGUUGAAUAAGUCCUCCAAGAAGGAUCGCAUAUGAAUAAACUCCACUUCAAAGCUAAUGCUUUAGCCCUGCUUAUUAAAAUGUAGAUCGGUUAAGAGGAUGUUCCUAAUCGGGCAGCGUAAUGAAGGAAGCUUUUAUAGGCUUGAUGGCAUUGAAGUCUGGAUUUUUGCAAUGUUCCAUUUUCCGGUCAACAAAAAUGACAGGCAAUUAAAGGUAUCGGACUUAAUAUGCCUGAAGAGUGAGGGAAAAUGAGAGAUGAACCAGUGUCCUGGUCUGGUAUUAAAAAGAAAAGAGGGACUUUAUUUAACUGUAAACUGACAGGUGAAACAGCCCAGGAGAAAGUGCCGGGAGUGAUUCAGGGACAUGGUUUUUGAAUUGCUGAUUUUAAUUUCUCUCUGUGCUAGGAUGGGAGGAGAGUUAUGCAACAGUCCCUUAAUAUCCCUCCCAGCUGCGGAGAACAACCACAUCUGGCACGUAACAGUGCAAUGGAAUUAUAUUUACGGCCGCACAGUUACUAAAUACUUAACUACAAAUAUAUGUUCAACAAACCUAAUUGGAGAAGAGGGGUAGAUGUAAUAUGUCACAUAGCAAUACAUUCGCUGGAGGGAAAAAUGACAGGAGGCAGGUAACAUUUUCCCUCAACUUAAAAACCCCAGGUUACCAGAACUGGAAAAAGGUUAGUUAAGUUAGCAUCCUUGGCUGACUCUUAAAAUGGGUAAUCUCAGGGAGAGCUUGGUAAAGUUACGUUUACUUUACCCAGCCAGGAUGUUUAUUCCCAUAUCCUCUGAGGAGUUCAGGACUUGUAGUCCAGAAAAAUAGGAGCCAGGGUUUGGGUGGCGGGCAAAUUGUGCUGUUAAACGAUGAAGAACUGUAAGUGAAAACUGUUUCACUUACAAUCAAUAUGUCUAACUUUUAUUAUUUACAUGAGGUGUUCCAUUGCAGUUUUCCACUUCAUGCACAAAAUGUCUCAAAACCAAACCACUUAAAAGAGUGUCAAGCUCUUGUGCAUGGUCACUUAGUGAGCUUACAAUUGAUUGAAGGCUGACUGAGGAUUUUAGUUCAUAUAACUAUAACCUUUAUUGUUUGUUGUUGCUGUUGGUGGUGGGUAGUAUGUGUCUUUCAAGUUGUUUCCAACUUU